GACGAACGCUGGCGGCGUGCUUAACACAUGCAAGUCGAACGGAAAGGCCCUGCUUUUGUGGGGUGCUCGAGUGGCGAACGGGUGAGUAACACGUGAGUAACCUGCCCUUGACUUUGGGAUAACUUCAGGAAACUGGGGCUAAUACCGGAUAGGAGCUCCUGCUGCAUGGUGGGGGUUGGAAAGUUUCGGCGGUUGGGGAUGGACUCGCGGCUUAUCAGCUUGUUGGUGGGGUAGUGGCUUACCAAGGCUUUGACGGGUAGCCGGCCUGAGAGGGGGACCGGCCACAUUGGGACUGAGAUACGGCCCAGACUCCUACGGGAGGCAGCAGUGGGGAAUAGUGCACAAUGGGCGGAAGCCUGAUGCAGCAACGCCGCGUGCGGGAUGACGGCCUUCGGGUUGUAAACCGCUUUCGCCUGUGACGAAGCGUGAGUGACGGUAAUGGGUAAAGAAGCACCGGCUAACUACGUG
rnacentral:rRNA from 1 species